AAUUAUUUAGGGUAAAUCAGCUCUGUUAACUCUCUCUUCUUCUCUUGAAGCUGCUCCUAUUGUAACCACCUCAGUCAUUCUCAUAAAACACAUUUGAAAAAUGGGAGACAGAAUGCAAGAGAUAUUCAAACACUGCUUGGCAUGUGAAAUUUCAAUUUAACUGGACUUUCUGGAUUCCAUCUUGCAACCCAAGGAUGACAGAAUGACUAUAUAUAGGAGCACGGCUGAAGUCAGAGAGGGUUCCACCCAGGAAAUGUAACCACCUCUUCUGAAAACACCUAUUAUGGUCUUUCUCCCUCCUGUGGAUUUAAAAGAUGAAAAAAGAUGGAA